UUAAUAAGAAAAAAUAUAGGUGCCUUUAUUCAAAGGAUAAUAGGGAAAUCCGGUGAAAGUCCGGUGCAGCCCCCGCUACUGUAAGCGAGUACGAAACCUCAUGAUGUCACUUGGAAACAGGGAAGACGAGGGAGUAGGGUAUGAAGCGCAAGCCAGGAAACCUGCCUAUAUUUGCAUCUAUUG
rnacentral:ncRNA from 1 species